CGUACACUCCUGCGGGAGGCAGCAGUGGGGAAUUUUGGACAAUGGGCGAAAGCCUGAUCCAGCCAUGCCGCGUGCAGGAUGAAGGCCUUCGGGUUGUAAACUGCUUUUGUACGGAACGAAACGGCCUUUUCUAAUAAAGAGGGCUAAUGACGGUACCGUAAGAAUAAGCACCGGCUAACUACGUGCCAGCAGCCGCGGUAAUACGUAGGGUGCAAGCGUUAAUCGGAAUUACUGGGCGUAAAGCGUGCGCAGGCGGUUAUGUAAGACAGGUGUGAAAUCCCCGGGCUCAACCUGGGAACUGCAUCUGUGACUGCAUAGCUAGAGUACGGUAGAGGGGGAUGGAAUUCCGCGUGUAGCAGUGAAAUGCGUAGAUAUGCGGAGGAACACCGAUGGCGAAGGCAAUCCCCUGGACCUGUACUGACGCUCAUGCACGAAAGCGUGUGGAGCAAACAGGAGUAGAUACCCCAGUAGUCCCAUG
rnacentral:rRNA from 1 species